CUUCUCCACUGUGCGAUGCUGGGGGGAGAGAGCCCGAGGGACCUACAGGCUUGUCAUCAGGGAUGUCGGGGAUGAGUCAUUCCAGGUCGGCAUCCUCCGGCAAUGGCAGCUGACCCUAUAUGGCUCUGUGUGGAGUGCAGUAGACAUCAGGGACAGACAAAGGCUGUUAGAGAGUGCCAUGAGUGGAAAAUACCUGCACGAUGACUUCGCCCUGCCCUGCCCACCGGGGCUGAAAAUUCCUGAGG
rnacentral:lncRNA from 1 species